CCUACGGGAGGCAGCAGUAGGGAAUCUUCGGCAAUGGGGGCAACCCUGACCGAGCACGCCGCGUGAGUGAAGAAGGUUUUCGGAUCGUAAAGCUCUGUUGUAAGUAAGCGGGUGUGAGAGUGGAAAGUUCACACUGUGACGGUAGCUUACCAGAAAGGGACGGCUAACUACGUGCCAGCAGCCGCGGUAAUACGUAGGUCCCGAGCGUUGUCCGGAUUUAUUGGGCGUAAAGCGAGCGCAGGCGGUUUGAUAAGUCUGAAGUUAAAGGCUGUGGCUCAACCAUAGUUCGCUUUGGAAACUGUCAAACUUGAGUGCAGAAGGGGAGAGUGGAAUUCCAUGUGUAGCGGUGAAAUGCGUAGAUAUAUGGAGGAACACCGGUGGCGAAAGCGGCUCUCUGGUCUGUAACUGACGCUGAGGCUCGAAAGCGUGGGGAGCGAACAGGAUUAGAUACCCUGGUAGUC
rnacentral:rRNA from 1 species